GAACACUCAGCCAAGCUGCAGCGGACAAUCACCACGUACAUGUUCCUUGCCCUGGAGCUGGACAUGACCCCUUUCAUGGCCUCCAGCAAAGAGAGCGGGAUGAAUGGACAGUCCCAGCAGCCCAUGGACAGUCUCAAUAACAACAAAAAACUGGAUAUCUUUGUGGUCCCUGAAUGAUCCCAGGAGGCUGAACCUAUAAAGACGUCUGGUCCCUGACCCCUUCUGCCUCCAGGUGCCCAGAACAGCCUAUCGUGGGCCUUCACCCUUGGCAGGUGGAUGCCGUUGUCUCAGCUAAGGUUGAGAACU
rnacentral:lncRNA from 1 species